GCGCCCGUGGUGGAACCGGUAGACACAGACGAUUGCCAUUCGUCCGGGAAUACAAGUUGCUAACCCAACUUUCCCUUGCGGGUUCGAGUCCCGCCGGGCGCACCA
rnacentral:tRNA from 1 species